AUUGAACGCUGGCGGCAGGCCUAACACAUGCAAGUCGAACGAGUGGCGGACGGGUGAGUAAUGUCUGGGAAACUGCCUGAUGGAGGGGGAUAACUACUGGAAACGGUAGCUAAUACCGCAUACCAUCAGAUUUGCCCAGAUGGGAUUAGCUAGUUGGUGGGGUAACGGCUCACCAAGGCGACGAGCCCUAGCUGGGCUGAGAGGAUGACCAGCGACACUGGAACUGAGAACCGGUCCAGACUCCUACGGGAGGCAGCAGGGGGGAAUAUGGCACAAUGGGCGCAAGCCUGAUGCAGCCAUGCCGCGUGUAUGAAGAAGGCCUUCGGGUUGUAAAGUACUUUCAGCGGGGAGGCGGUACCCGCAGAAGAAGCACCGGCUAACUCCGUGCCAGCCGCCGCGGUAAUAC
rnacentral:rRNA from 1 species